AGGCAGUGUAACGUUAGCUGGUUGUAUCUAUCUAUAACACCGGUUAACUUACUGCUGCCCUC
rnacentral:pre_miRNA from 1 species